rnacentral:rRNA from 1 species
UACGUAGGGGGCAAGCGUUGUCCGGAUUUACUGGGCGUAAAGAGCGCGUAGGCGGAGGCUUAAGUGUGGCCUGAAAGCCCCCGGCUCAACCGGGGAAGGUGGCUGCAAACUGGGCUUCUUGAGGGGGAUAGGGGAAAGUGGAAUUCCUGGUGUAGCGGUGAAAUGCGCAGAUAUCAGGAAGAACACCCGUGGCGAAGGCGGCUCUCUGGGACGGUACUGACGCUGAGACGCGAAAGCGUGGGGAGCAAACAGG